GGAUGGAGUGGGGAAACACUGCCCUGACGCCUCUAUUGUUUAUAGCUUUGGGGUCAGCUAAGCAGGUCCAGAACAGGGAGUUCCCCCAGGCAGGAUGGUGGUGUAGGAGAUAGGACACUGUCUGAUAUGGGGAGCCUUGGCCCCUGAACAGGACGCCCUGAACAAGGGGCCUUAAGCCUGACUUAUUACAGGGGAUGGAAAUCAGUCCACAGAACUGGGAGUCUAGGCUACCCAGGGUGAUCCUUCUGGAGACUUGACAAGUUCCAGCCCUGCAGCAAUUCAAGGCCAACUGCCCUGAUCCUGGGUUGAUGAAUUCCUCCUUCCUAAUUGGAAGUUCUCAAGCUUAUGGCCAAAGGCUAGGCCUAGCAGAGAACCUGCUCACAGAAUACCCUGAGAAGUGUAGGCAGAAUGUGCAUUGGCAGCAGAGAGCUGAGGAAGUACUGGGUCGACAGAGCCUUACAACAGAAGCUGCAGCAGAAGCCUGAGCUCAUCUGACCCAUGGCUAACUGGGAAGAGGCAGGCUGAGCUGGAUGAAACGAAGAUUUUAAGACUCUCAGAAACCGUCUUUGCGGGAUUAUGGGAGAGCUUCUGCCCAAGGGACAAGGCUCAGCCAACUCUUCUCUAAAAAGACCUUCUGGGCUGUCAGGAGCGGCACGCCACUUGCUUUUCCCCUCCCUUCGCUCUGAUGGGGACCCAAAACAUGACAGUCGUCCUGAAUGAAACGGGGGGGGGGGGCGUUCCUCGCUCCCGGCUGUCCUCCCCAAGGCAGACACCCAUGCCCUUACCCGCGGCGCGUGAAUACGAAGGGGGGCACCGCUCGGGUUCGAGACCGCACCAAAGACUGCUCGGCGCCUGCCGCUUCGGGGCCGCCGCCCCCCGGGGUGGAGGCAAAGGGCCAGAGGCCCCGAGCUUUGGAGCCGCUGGCGCCCAUGUCAGCGCCGCGGGCGCAUGGCGGACCCAGCGGCCGCUCCGCUCUCACAGUGCGGCGGGCGCGACCAUGCCCUGCCCCAGCCUCCACUCACAGGUGCCGCCGCCGCCGCCGCCUUCCGCAGGCUCCGCUGUCUCCACGGAAACCUCACUUCCGCUUCCGCCCGCCCUGCACGCUGCUUCCUCUGAGUGGCUGAAGAACUCGUCAGUCUGUAAAGUCCAACCAAUGGGCACCCUCAGAGGAUGAACACCCUAGGAUGCGCUGCCUCCAGGUCCCAGAAGGCUUUGGGUCCCAAGGGUCAGCGGGGCCAGCUCCCUCCCCGAAAAGCGGAGGUAAUGUGUUGUUAUGGACUUUAAGGUCGGGCCGGGUAUGAGUGUCCCCAAGUCCCUGACGCCCAACACUUGGGCCCAGUGGCAAUACUCAAUUAGGUCACCCCUCCAUCCCCAAAGGGACUUUAGGCCUGCCUCAGGCUAGGAUACAUUUAGCUUGUUUUCACAACUGUUUUUGCAGUGGUUACCUUUGUACAUAAGGAAAUUAAGGAACUCGCUAAAUGUCUUUUGUUUUCUUGAGACAAGGUCUCACUAUGUGGCCUUAGCUGGCCUGGAACCUGCUAUGUAUAACAGGCUGGCUUCAAACUCAUAUCCACCUGCUUCUGCCUCCUAAAUGCUGGGAUUAAAGCAGGAGCAGCUAUGCAGGGGGCCAAAA